rnacentral:rRNA from 1 species
UACGUAGGGUGCAGGCGUUAAUCGGAAUUACUGGGCGUAAAGCGUGCGCAGGCGGUCUGCUAAGACAGGUGUGAAAUCCCCGGGCUUAACCUGGGAACUUCGCUUGUUACUGGCAGGCUGGAGUGUGGCAGAGGGGGGUGGAAUUCCACGUGUAGCAGUGAAAUGCGUAGAGAUGUGGAGGAACACCGAUGGCGAAGGCAGCCCCCUGGGCUAACACUGACGCUCAUGCACGAAAGCGUGGGGAGCAAACAGG